UGGACUUAGCCAUGUAGCAAAUAA
rnacentral:siRNA from 1 species